AGAGUGGAAAAUUCCCCUAGGGCUCAGGCUGUGAGAAACAUCCUGCCAGGCAAGUCCUAAGCCCAACAGCCUGAUCUCAGGAAAUUCCUCACUUAGCAACAGCUAACCACCCUGCCCACCCCACUUCACAACAAGCCCAGAUCUCUCCCACCCGGACCUAAACUUACCCAGUCUGGAAGCGGGGGCGGGCUCUGGCGCUAGUUGGUGUACCCCUCCGCGGGUGUUUGUUCGGUAAACCUGUGUUGCUGUAGAGCCGCCUCCGUCCGUUUUUUCUCCCGUUCCCGCGCUAACAAUGACAUUAUACCAAAUGUAACUGAUAUACUAAUAUAUGCUGCUGUAAUAAGGAGUCCUCAUUUAAGUUACUGUGUCCAAAAUGAGUUUCCAGUGGUCCUCCAUCUUGAUACAUGCUUCAGUAUCACUUAUACAGAAAGGGUGGACAUGGACACAAGGGUUCAUGGGUGGUUAGCCUCAAAGACAAAUAUUAGUGAUGAACAUCAUGCUGUACUCAGAAUUGCUUCUCUGGACUGAUAAUGAAAGCUUUUUCACUAAGCCACGCUUGACUGCCUGACUCUUCCGUUAUGAUGAGCCCUCUCCCAGGAUGCUCCUCAGGGGUUUAUUACAGUCGACUUCUGGAUCAGGCUGCCAGACAUAUAGAGACACGUCUGAAUUCCAUGUAUGAACAGAGCAUAGACUAAAGCUGUAACACCUUAUCGUCUCCCAGCCUGCUUCCAAGCUUCUGAAAACUGGUUUUGCCCCUAAAACCUUAAUACAUUGUAAAAUCAACCCUGUCAUGUUUGAAUCAUAGCAUUUUAGAAAAAUGAAAUAGUGAUUUUGAUGCUACUGCUUGAUAAUACAGAAAAGUAAAUGUCUAUGCAAGGACAUGAAGUACUUAUAUUUUUAAACGUUAAAAAGGGAAGUAACCAGACAUUGGGCUUCCUUGUCAUUUAAAGCAGCAGCCCCCAACCUUUUUGGCACCAGGGACCAGUUUCAUAGAAGACAAUUUUUCCAUGGACCCGGUGUGGGGAGAUGGUUUCCGGAUGAUUCAAGCACAUUACAUUUAUUGUACACUGUAUUUCUAUUAUUAUUACUAUAAUUAUACAACUGAAUAUAAUUCAGAGUCGGUGGGUACCCUGAGCUUGUUUUCCUGCAACUAGAUGCUCCCAUCUGGGGUUGAUGGGACACAGUGACAGAUCAUCAGGUAUUAGAUUAUCAUAAGGAGUGCAUGACAUAGAUCCCUCGCAUGUGCAGUUCACAAUAGAGUUUGCACUCCUGUGAGAAUCCAAUGCUGCAGUUGAUCUGACGGGAGCUGGAGCUCAGGCAGUAAUGUGAGCGAUGAGGAGGGGCUGUAAAUACAGAUGAAGCUUCACUGGCUUGCCUACUGUUCACUGCUUGCUGUGUGGCUUGGUUCCUAACGGGCCAUGGACUAGUACUGGUCUGUGGCCCAGGGGCUGUGGACCCCUGAUUUUAAGAAGUAAGAUAGCAACAAAAAUAAGGAUUUGUUAAUUCAACAACGUUGUGAAGGUUUAGGAAUUUCUUUUAAUUUCACAGUGUUUAUUUUUUGCCUGUAUUUUCUAAUUAUCUGUUAUAUUUAAUAUAGAACUCCUAAAAAGGAGUGUGGGUAAAUACAGUAGUCUAUCUGCCGCCAACUUUAAUGAAAGAGAAAACUCAAAAAAGUAAAGUAAGUGAUGCAAAAUCUGAAAAAGAUGACAUCUGAAUUCGAUGGUCUUAAGAAAGGAGAGUUUAUAAAUGUCUAGGAUACAGAAAUGGUGACUUUAGCUUCAAGGAACCUAUGUGGGGUUGCCUGAAAUUUGUCUCUGUAAUGUCACAUGUGUGGAAGAUACUGUAUGUCAUUAAUAACUGAUUUUGUGCCAAUUGGAAGUAUUAUUAAAUUUCUGUGCACAGCACUUGAUAGCAAAAUAAUGGGAUGUUUCUUACAUAUUCCUAGGUAUUUCUGAAUUUACUCUGCUGGUUUUAUAUAAAACAUGAACACUGGAAAACAGAAAACAAGUAUCCCAAAAUCCUUUCCUAGUAUGUGUGCCCAUACCUCUCACUUAAUGAUUUCACAUUAUUGAUAAAUUUCCUCAUUGAUAUAGUGCUCCAUUUUAUUAAUCUUGAAUUGGGCAAAAAAAGAUGUAGUUGCUGCAAGGCACUUUCAUUUGCCAUCGUUUUCUCAAGGGCUCAUAUUCCUACAUCUUCUGAAAUACCUAAUUAACUCUUGUUUAAAAUGAGCACAUGCAGAAUAUAAAUGGAAUAAAUUACUACUCAUUGAAACUCAAAUAUUUCCAAUUGAAUAAAUAUUUGACAGAAUAUUAAGAGCUUUUUGAAGCUGUUUCACAUAACCACUUAGAAACUAUGAAUCCAGGACCCACUAUUUGAAAAGUACAUUACCAACAAUAAGCAGCUUGUUCAUUAUAAGUCUCAUUGAUAUGUCAAAUGACAGUAUUAAAUCGGUGACUAAAUAAAGCAUACUAUAUCUAGGGUU